rnacentral:tRNA from 7 species
GCCUCCUUAGCUCAGCUGGCCAGAGCGCCGCCCUUGUAAGGCGGAUGUCGUCGGUUCGAAUCCGACAGGGGGCU